rnacentral:rRNA from 1 species
AAAGACCUUAUGCUUUUGGAGCGGCCGAUGUCUGAUUAGCUAGUUGGUGAGGUAAAGGCUUACCAAGGCGACGAUCAGUAGUUGGUCUGAGGGGACGACAGCCACACUGGGACUGAGACACGGCCCAGACUCCUACGGGAGGCAGCCGUGGGGAAUUCUGGACAAUGGGCGCAAGCCUGAUCCAGCAAUGCCGCGUGAGUGAAGAAGGCCUUCGGGGUGUAAAGCUCUUUCAGCCGGAACGAAACGGUCACGGCUAAUACCUGUGAUCACUGACGGUACCGGAAGAAGAAGCACCGGCUAACUACGUGCCAGCAGCCGCGGUAAUACGUAGGGUGCGAGCGUUAAUCGGAAUUACUGGGCGUAAAGCGUGCGCAGGCGGUUUUGUAAGACAGAUGUGAAAUCCCCGGGCUUAACCUGGGAACU